UACGGGGGGAGCAAGCGUUGUUCGGAUUUACUGGGCGUAAAGGGCGCGUAGGCGGCGCAACAAGUCACUUGUGAAAUCUCCGGGCUUAACCCGGAGCGGUCAAGUGAUACUGUCGUGCUAGAGUGCAGAAGGGGCAAUCGGAAUUCUUGGUGUAGCGGUGAAAUGCGUAGAUAUCAAGAGGAACACCUGAGGUGAAGACGGGUUGCUGGGCUGACACUGACGCUGAGGCGCGAAAGCUAGGGUAGCAAACGGG
rnacentral:rRNA from 1 species